UGAGGAACAUAGCCAUCGGCGGGGGAUAGCCGGCCCAACGGCCGGGUAAUACCGCGUACGAUCUUCGGGGGGCAUCCUCUGGAGAUGAAAGCAGCAAUGCGCCGAUGGGGUGCCUCGCGGCCUAUCAGCUAGUUGUGAGGUAACGGCUCACCAAGGCUACGACGGGUAGCUGGUCCGAGAGGAUGACCAGCCACAUUGGGACUGAGACACGGCCCAGACUCCGUAGGGAGG
rnacentral:rRNA from 1 species